rnacentral:tRNA from 1 species
GUCUCCGUAGUUUAACGGAUAAAACAAACGCCUCCUAAGCGUUAGCUCUGGGUUCGAUUCCCGGCGGGGACG